UAAUGGUAUUCAUGUGUUAAAUACAGCAGCUCAAGAGAAAUCUGUGGACCCACUCAGGCAGUACUAAACACAAAAAACUCGUGCUCAUCUGCAAGAACUUCCUGGACAAGGAGCUAUUGGAGAAGUCAGUCUGUGGCCCAUACUCACUGCGGUACCUCAAUGAUGGCAAAAGUAAGGUGCUGGAGAAU